GUAUGUGUUCAGACUCCAGACAGGGAGGUGGAAUCUGAUGUCGGGAGAAUAGGGUGCGGUCAUCAGGCCCCAGCCUGGCAUUGAAGUCACACACACCCCAACACCACCAGUGCAUCAUACAUUCUGAAAGAUCACUCUGUUUAAGUUUGUUCAGCAUUUUCUCUUUAGCAUGUGGCCCUCUGUUGGAGGCAUCUAGUUACUGUGUUGCUAAACUGUGUUGUUAGUUUACUGCACUUCGUCUGAGAGACUUUUUCUAUUGAUGGGUUAAGGCAUGGCAUGGCAAGACCAAACAGGCCCUAUAGCCACCUCCUGGUCUUUAAGUAGUCUCCUAAAGUACAGCUGCUGAUAGAGACCAGUGGCACACAGAAAUCUCCACAGUGCUUUCAUUACUAAGCCCCAAAGCUUUCAGCCCUGAAGGAUAACCUCCAAAUCUGGAGCCUCAAUAAGUCUGAGAGCCUCUAGCUGGUUCCACCAUUUAUAUGAACCAGGGGUUUUUAGAACCAGCUGUAGGCUUGGUCACUGAGGCAAUCUGCUGUCAAAUUCAAUUGGUCAUUGAUCAGUAAGCUUUAGGCUAGAUAGAUGUGAAAAACAGAUUGGUUAGAAGGCCAUGUGGGGCUAGAAUAUAAAAGGCCUGGUACAGGUAGCUGAUAGGGAGUUUAUUGAAAGAGUCUGGUGAGAUAGUUAAUACCCUCAAAAGGCAGAAUACAGAACUGGAUUCAAAAGAGGAGAGACUUCAAAGCAAGAUGGAGAAAAAUGAAGAGCUGAAGCUGCUAGGAGGGAAGGCUUCGGAGGAAUUGGGAGCAGAGAGAUUAUCUGAGGCAACCUUCUAGUAGCUUCUAGCAUAGCACUGCCUUCGGUUGUCUGUGCUUGCCCACUGGAAAGAGUCCAGCCUGAAGGAAAAGAUCGGUAGUGAUUACAGCUUGUAGCCAGGGGAGUCCAAGAAAAACCAAGACUUCAAAAGACACUUGGACUGGCAAGGAGAAGACAAACCAGAAUAAUUUUCCCCAGUGCCGGCGUAGCCAAGGAUGAAGAUGCUGACAAGAAAGGAAGCUUCCUUACUGAACAAGCCUGCAGCCAAGAGGACUGAGCCACCAAGAUGCCUUUAUAUCUGCACCCGUAUCCCGCUCAGGUUGAAUUGGGAAGGCCCAACUCUGAAUGCCCAUGUGCGCACACUGCCUCGAUGCUGUUCCCCAGAACAAAAGUCAUUCUGCACACAGAUGAGAAAAAUGAGAAAGAAAACGGGUUGACACCAGCAACAGCCGCUAGAGGCCUGCUGUGCUGGGACUGGAUAGGAACAGUUGCACUCCCCCUUUUAAAUAUAAGCAAAUCCCACUUUAAAUGGUGCCUCUUUGCUCUGUUAGCAAAGGUAAAUCUGACAUUAACACUGCACUGAUUCUGUCAGAGUUGGCUUCUUGGUUUUUAGUUAUUUGAACAAGUCUUAAUCAGUGUGAACAGACUCCACACAUCAUCAUAAUCUAUGUUGUAUCAUGAAUAAAAGGUAUCUUCCAGCAAUUUCCACAAGAGGGCAUCCAUGUCUUUUGCAAAUAAUAAUUUUUAAAAUCCAAACUACAUAGUGCCAGUUUAUGGGGUGAAUGAAACCUGGUGUCAGCUUUUGUUUUAAAGCUGAUAAGGCAACUCUCGCUUGUUAGGCUACUGGUGCAUAAACAACAUCUCAAUAUUUUUGUAAAGCACAACUAUGUCUAGCUAGUUUUACUUGCCUGAGAUACUGUUUCAUCUAAGCAUGGCAGCUACAAAUAUUUAAUAAUGAUCUUAAUGAUAAUGGUGGUAUCUGAAAUGUGCUGCCAUGCAGAUACACUUGCUGGCUUAACCCCAUCGGACAAAACUAGUUGUGAAAUAAAAAUCUGCACAUACAUAUUCCAUGUCGUCCUGUUUGACAAGGUCAUUCAUUUCAGUUUUGAGGCAUGAAACGUUUAUUGACAAGAUCAUUAGUUGCUAUGUGUAGGAUAAUUACUGCUGAUAUGUCUGUAACUGAUGACAACAUUAACAAGAUCAGCAAUAGUAGGAUAAAUUGUCAGAUAUUAUAAAUCUGCAUCAUCAUGAGAAUGUCUAUCCAUUUAGUUAAAUGUUUGCAAUGAACGAAUGCCUCAUUUAAUAUUGUCAGUCUGGCAAUUGCUACACAUUUUGUAUCUGAAGUAAGAAAUGAAUUAUUCACUAGACAUGUUUUUUUUUUAAAAGAAUCCCUGUCUUGCUUGUGAGUAUUGCUAACACAAUGAGCUCAUGUUACAAUUAAUUGUUUUUCUCUUAUCUUUGGCUGCCUUUACUGUGUCUUGCAUGGUUCCAGUUUUCAUUUCACUACUGCAAAUGCUGUUCAGCUUCUCAGUAAGGCAUGCAAUAUGUUUAUGGGUUAGAUAAUAAAUAAAUAGUUUUACAUA